GAUGAACGCUGGCGGCGUGCCUAAUACAUGCAAGUCGAGCGAACAGACGAGGAGCUUGCUCCUCUGACGUUAGUGGCGGACGGGUGAGUAACACGUGGAUAACCUACCUAUAAGACUGGGAUAACUUCGGGAAACCGGAGCUAAUACCGGAUAAUAUAUUGAACCGCAUGGUUCAAUAGUGAAAGACGGUUUUGCUGUCACUUAUAGAUGGAUCCGCGCCGCAUUAGCUAGUUGGUAAGGUAACGGCUUACCAAGGCAAGGAUGAGUAGCCGACCCGAGAGGGUGAUCGGCCACACUGGAACUGUGACGCGGUCCAGACGUCUGCGGGAGGCAGCAGAGGGGAAUCUUACGCAAUGGGCGAAAGCUUGACGGAGCAACGCCGCGUGAGUGAUGAAGUUCUUCGGAUCGUAAAGCGCUGUUAUUAGGGAAGAACAAAUGUGUACGUAACUAUGCACUUCUUGACGGUACCUAAUCAGAAAGCCACGGCUAGCUACGUG
rnacentral:rRNA from 1 species